rnacentral:rRNA from 1 species
GAUCGGGAAGGGUGGAUGUGGGCGCUGCCAAUUGCUGGCUCGCCUUAAAUGUCUUAGCGGCUUAGAAGCCCCGACCUAGCGUAAUAAGUUUCGCUGGAGAGGGUGUGGAUGACUGCUUACAAUCGCCCUUGGGCAAUCUUUUGACUCUGGCCUCAAAUCAGGUAGGACUACCCGCUGAACUUAAGCAUAUCAAUAAGCGGAGGAAAAGAAACUAACAAGGAUUCCCCUAGUAGCGGCGAGCGAAGCGGGAAGAGCUCAAAUUUGUAAUCUGGCGUCCUCCGGGCGUCCGAGUUGUAAUCUAUAGAGACGUUUUCCGUGCCGGACCGUGUCCAAGUCCCUUGGAACAGGGUAUCAAAGAGGGUGACAAUCCCGUACUUGACACGACGACCGGUGCUCUGUGAUACGUUUUCUACGAGUCGAGUUGUUUGGGAAUGCAGCUCAAAAUGGGUGGUAAAUUCCAUCUAAAGCUAAAUAUAGGCGAGAGACCGAUAGCGAACAAGUACCGUGAGGGAAAGAUGAAAAGCACUUUGGAAAGAGAGUUAAACAGUAUGUGAAAUUGUUGAAAGGGAAACGAUUGAAGUCAGUCAUGUCCAUUGGAUUCAGCUGGUUCUGCCAGUGUAUUUCCUUUGGACGGGUCAACAUCAGUUUGAGCCGGCGGAUAAUGGCAGAGGGAAUGUGGCACCCCCGGGUGUGUUAUAGCCCUUUGCCGCAUACGUCGGCCCAGACUGAGGAAUGCAGCUCGCCUUUAUGGCCGGGGUUCGCCCACGUACG